rnacentral:rRNA from 1 species
CCUACGGGAGGCAGCAGUGGGGAAUAUUGCACAAUGGGGGAAACUCUGAUCCAGCGACGCCGCGUGAGUGAAGAAGUCUUUCGGUAUGUAAAGCUCUAUCAGCAGGGAAGUAAACGACGUUACCUGAUUCAGAUGCCACGUCUAACUCCGUUCCAGCAGCCGCGGUUAUACGUAGGGGGCAAGCGUUAUCCGGAUUUACUGGGUGUAAAGGGAGCGUAGACGGCAGCACAGGUCUGGAGUGAAAUGCCGGGGCUUAACCCCGGAACUGCUUUGGAAACUGUGCAGCUAGAGUGCAGGGGAGGUAAGUGGAAUUCGUGGUGUAGCGGUGAAAUGCGUAGAUAUUAGGAGGAACACCAGUGGCGAAGGCGGCUUACUGGACUGUAACUGACGUUGAGGCUCGAAGGCGUGGGGAGCAAACAGGAUUAGAUACCCUAGUAGUC